CGGCGCGCUUAAUGCAUGCAAGUCGAGCGAUGAGACUCCUACGGGAGCACAUCAGCGGCAGACGGGUGAGUAACACGUAGAUGACGUACCCUCAAGACGGGGAUAACGGAUGGAAACAUGCGCUAAUACCGGAUGACCUUACGAUGUCAGAAUGGUAAGGAAAGCUACGGCGCUUGAGGAGCGGUCUGCGGCCCAUCAGCUAGUUGGUAGGGUAAAGGCCUACCAAGGCGAAGACGGGUAGGGGGUGUGAGAGCACGGCCCCCCACAAUGGGACUGAGACACGGCCCAUACUCCUACGGGAGGCAGCAGCAGGGAAUAUUGCACAAUGGACGGAAGUCUGAUGCAGCGACGCCGCGUGAGUGAAGAAGGCCUUCGGGUUGUAAAACUCUUUUGAGGGGGAAGAGCGAGGACGGUACCCCUGGAAUAAGCGUCGGCUAACUACGUGCCAGCAGCCGCGGUAAGACGUAGGACGCGAGCGUUAUCCGGAUUUACUGGGCGUAAAGCGUCUGUAGGCGGAUGUGUAAGUUGGGCGUGAAAGCUCCGGGCUUAACCCGGAGAGGCCGUUCAAUACUGCAUAACUUGAGGGUGUCAGAGGGGAGCGGAAUUCCCGGUGUAGCGGUAAAAUGCGCAGAGAUCGGGAGGAACACCAGUGGCGGAGGCGGUUCCCUGGGGCACACCUGACGCUGAGAGACGAAAGCUAGGGGAGCGAACAGGAUUAGAGACCCUGGUAGUCCUAGCCCUAAACGAUGAAUGCUAGGUGUGGGAUCGAAUGGUUCCGUGCCGGAGCGAACGCGAUAAGCAUUCCGCCUGGGGAGUACGGCCGCAAGGUUAAAACUCAAACGAAUUGACGGGGCCCCGCACAAGCAGCGGAGCGUGUGGUUUAAUUCGAUGCUACACGAAGAACCUUACCUGGGUUUGACAUGUAGGUGGUAGUGAAUCGAAAGGUGAACGACCCUUCGGGGAGCCUACACAGGUGCUGCAUGGCUGUCGUCAGCUCGUGCCGUGAGGCGUCGGGUUAAGUCCCGUAACGAGCGCAACCCUUGCUCCUAGUUACAAGUGUCUAGGGGGACUGCCGGCGGAAAGCCGGAGGAAGGUGGGGAUGACGUCAAGUCAGCAUGGCCCUUAUAUCCAGGGCU
rnacentral:rRNA from 1 species